CCCAGGCAGGCUCCAACGCCACUGAAAGCCAGCGACGGAGACAGGCAGCCUCCGAGGAAAGAGACAGCAGUGGGAAAUUUUGCUUUGAUGCCGGCUCGCCAGCUAGCUCCGGCACCAGGGAGGAGGAGGAGGAAGGACUGCCGGCUCUCGCGAUGCUCCCCUGCAUGUGUAUACACGCAGAGCUGAGCUCAGCCAGAGGUCCUGGGAGAGGGUUGCAACAACCACAGAGCAAGUCACCAGCUGUGCCCUGCCUGACUGGGCAGCACAUGGCUGGCACAGCCUGAGCCCCACAGUGGCACCUGACCACCCGCCGUCGGACAAGAAAGCCCACGGAGAAGAGCAGGCACUGCAAGGACGCUACGAAAGGACUGUGUUGUACAACCAUCCAUCGCCCCAAGAUGUCGAAGCACAAAGGCAGGGGUUAAGUCCAGCCUGGGAUGCUGAGCCCCUGCAGAUGGGCAGAGUGAGAGAUGAGGAAGAGCCCUGACCCACCUGAACCCAGAGGGAAUCUCCUGCACUGCUCCACUCCUGCUACCCCCUCAACAUCUUUAUUCACCAACUGCAAGUAAAGCUCCAGAGGGACUGUCAGCACUGAUUCAGAAGCCUGUGAGGUUAAUCCCAGACAGGACAGAAAUGUCAUCAAACCCAGCCAGCCCAUUGUGGUAUAACCCAAAAUAGCACAGUUAGUUUCCGCAACGGGCUUCUCUACAGAAGCAACAUAUCCUGUUCCAGUCUUGGCUCUCUGUGUGCCUUGUGAUUCAGUUUUGAGGGGAAGAAGUUCACAAAGAAGCUGCAUGAGUGAGUGCAAACCCCAGAAGUGCAUCCUGCAAAAAGGCAGUAAAGAUGGCUCUAAAGGCGACUGCACAAUCAACACUUUGCCAUAGAAAUACAGAACCAUAAACUGUCCUGAGCUCAAAGGGACCCGCAAGCAUCAUCGAGUCCAACUCCUGACCCUGCACAGGACAACUCCAAGAGUCACCCUGUGCCUGAGAGCAUUGUACAAACACUUCCUGAACUCCAGUAGGUUUGGUACCGUGACCACUCCCCUGGGGAGCCUGUUCCAGUGCCUGAACACCCUCCAGGUGAAGAACUGUUUCCUAAUAACCAACCUACCUCCCCUACCACCACGACUCAGCUUCGUGCCAUUCUCUCUAGUCCUGUCACUGCUCACCAGAGAGAAGAGAUCAGUGCCUGCCCCUCUGCUUCCUCAAACUUGCAGCAGGCUUGGCCAGCUGGCCAGGCAUGACUGUUUGCCAGUGGUCCAGUACAGGACAACUCACCCUUAAAACAAGAUGAAUGAGUUUCAGCAAGUAAACAAACACAGACUACCUGACAGAGGGACACAAAAAUGCCGUAAGAAAGACGUAUAGCACAUAAAAAAAGCCAAGGCUGCCAAGCCAAAGAGUUGCACAGAGCCCUUUCGUACACCAUUCCCCCAAGUCUGACAACAGAAGAACAUGAGGCUUUCAUGGGAGCCCAGUGCCUGUGCUGAUGGUUUCAAGUUGGCUCAGGCUCAGUGCAGCUUCUCAGUGGGAAAACAGCCCUGAAGGACUCAACAGAAAGCACAGCGACUCUCUUCUCCUCUCCCUGUUGUCAAAGCAUCACUUGAAGCAAGAGCCUGAAAAUGUAUUACCUGGGAAAGCAAAGCAACCACAUUAGGGAGCGAGAGCACAAAGCACACCAUGACAUUUACAAGUGAGCUUGAGCUCACUCAUUUGUAUUUCAAAGGCCAGGUUGACACAAGAUAUUUUUCUUGCUCUAGCUUUGGCUGUGAAGGGAAUAAUACACGAUUUUGAGAGCUGCUGCCACUGCCAUCGGCUUUCCUGCAGAGUCAGAUACAACAAUAUUCAGCCUGCUUUGCUUGGAGAACAUAAGGACCAAUCUUGGAAAAUCCCCCUUUGGCUGAUACAAACAAAACCAAUUUCAGGAGUCUUGCUCAUGUCCACACACUCUCUUCCUAUGGCUCAAGUGAAUGAAUAUUAAGCUAAUCGUGUUCAGUGUCUCCCCAUCUUCAGUAAAUUCACACUAUGAAAGUUU